GAGUUUGAUCCUGGCUCAGGACGAACGCUGGCGGCGUGCCUAACACAUGCAAGUCUAGGAGAACGUUUCCUUCGGGAGAUUAUUAAACUGGCGAACGGGUGAGUAACGCGUAGAUAAUCUGCCCCUAUCACUGACAUAACGCUGAGAAAUCGGUGCUAAUAUCAGGUGCUUCGGCAUCAAAGUUUUCGGACGGAUAGGGAUGAGUCUGCGUCUGAUUAGCUUGUUGGUAAGGUAACGGCUUACCAAGGCUGCGAUCAGUAACUGGUCUGAGAGGACGAUCAGUCACACUGGAACUGAGACACGGUCCAGACUCCUACGGGAGGCAGCAGUGAGGAAUAUUGGUCAAUGGGGGCAACCCUGAACCAGCGACGCCGCGUGCGGGACGAAGGGGUUUUGCCCUGUAAACCGCUGUCAGACAGGAGGAAAAGUCCCCUCAGGGGACCGGGACAGUACUGUCAGAGGAAGGACCGGCUAACUACGUGCCAGCAGCCGCGGUAAUACGUAGGGUCCGAGCGUUGUCCGGAUUUACUGGGUGUAAAGGGUGCGUAGGCGGACUUGUGCGUCAGAGGUUAAAUCCCACGGCUUAACCGUGGAGCUGCCUUUGAUACGGCAAGUCUUGAGUGUGAGAGAGGAUGAUAGAAUUCCUGGUGUAGCGGUGAAAUGCGUAGAUAUCAGGAGGAAUACCGGUGGCGAAGGCGGUCAUCUGGCUCAUCAUUGACGCUGAGGCACGAAAGCGUGGGGAGCGAACAGGAUUAGAUACCCUGGUAGUCCACGCCCUAAACGAUGUAUGCUUGGUUGGUGUUCCCAUUUAUUUGGGAGUGCCGGAGGUAACCCGUUAAGCAUACCACCUGGGGAGUACGAUCGCAAGGUUGAAACUCAAAGGAAUUGACGGGGGCCCGCACAAGCGGUGGAUUAUGUGGUUUAAUUCGAUGCAACGCGAAGAACCUUACCAAGGCUUGAAGUGCAGUGGACCGCUCCUGAAAGGGAUUUUUCUUUCGAGACUGCUGCAGAGGUGCUGCACGGCUGUCGUCAGCUCGUGCCGUGAGGUGUUGGGUUAAGUCCCGCAACGAGCGCAACCCCUAUCCUUAGUUGCCAUCAGGUAAUGCUGGGAACUCUAAGGAGACUGCCCGCGCAAGCGGAGAGGAAGGUGGGGACGACGUCAAGUCAUCAUGGCCCUUAUGUCUGGGGCUACACACGUAAUACAAUGGUAGGUACAAUGGGCGAAGCCGCGAGGUGAAGGAAAUCCCCAAAGCCUAUCUCAGUUCGGAUUGUAGUCUGCAACUCGACUACAUGAAGCUGGAAUCGCUAGUAAUCGUAGAUCAGCGUGCUACGGUGAAUACGUUCCCGGGCCUUGUACACACCGCCCGUCAAGCCAUGGAAGCCGGAGGCGCCCAAAGAUGCUUAUAGCAUUUAAGGCGAAUUUGGUAAUUUGGGCUAAGUCGUAACAAGGUAGCCGUAUCGGAAGGUGCGGCUGGAUCACUCCUUUC
rnacentral:rRNA from 1 species